rnacentral:rRNA from 1 species
AUGGACAACAUGAUAGAAAAGAAUGUCGAACAAACAAAAGAGGCAAGAGCUAGCAACACUCGUCAAACCACCGCCGACCUCUCAAAGGAAAAACUCUCUGUUCCGGCGUCCGGCCAUCCAACCCAAAGCUGCGACCAUGGACCAUCCAUCUACUGCAUCACCGCCGCCGCGAGAAGGGACACCAGUGCCGAGGACACCAAGGCCAACGCGGACACGCCAGCGGCCGCGCCGGCGUCAGGCGCCGGAGCGGGGGCCGAGGAAGGCCCCAUGAAGUCCUGCGCCGACGCAGAGGCAAAGAAGACGGCCACGGCCAGGAUCAGCACGGCGAUGCGCGGAGCCAUCACGACCUUGCGCUGUAGCUUGCGAGUAGAUCGGAGGAUCGGCGAGGAGGGGAGUGAGUAG